GUGUCAGCAGCCGCGGUAAUACGAAGGGGGCUAGCGUUGCUCGGAAUGACUGGGCGUAAAGGGCGCGUAGGCGGUUUGUACAGUCAGGUGUGAAAUUCCCGGGCUCAACCUGGGGGCUGCACUUGAUACGUAUGGACUUGAGUGAGGAAGAGGGUCGUGGAAUUCCCAGUGUAGAGGUGAAAUUCGUAGAUAUUGGGAAGAACACCGGUGGCGAAGGCGGCGACCUGGUCCUUUUACUGACGCUGAGGCGCGAAAGCGUGGGGAGCAAACAGGAUUAGAAACCCCCGUAGUCC
rnacentral:rRNA from 1 species